UAAAACAUAGCGUUAAUGCACCAGAUCCCAUUAGAACUCCAUAGUUAAGCACACUCGAGAUAGACUAGUACUGGGAUGGGUGACCACCCAGGAAGUCUUAAUGUUUUAC
rnacentral:rRNA from 1 species